CGCCUCUUGAGCCCUAUAAGAGGUCCAGCCUGCCCAGUGACUUUGUUCAACGGCCGCGGUAUCCUAACCGUGCGAAGGUAGCGUAAUCACUUGUUCUUUAAAUAAGGACUAGUAUGAACGGCAUCACGAGGGUUACACUGUCUCCUUUUUCUAAUCAGUGAAACUAAUCUUCCCGUGAAGAAGCGGGAAUAUGUAUAUAAGACGAGAAGACCCUAUGGAGCUUAAAACAACUCAACACUUGCUUAAAUUAUUAAAAAUUUCAGAACUUUAGACUCCUCAAGCAAUAUGAUUGUAAAGUUUUUGGUUGGGGUGACCACGGAGUGUAAUAUAACCUCCAUGUUGAAAGAGAUUAUCCUCUAAGCUAAGAAUUACCUGUCUAAGCAUCAACACACUGACAUUCCUUGACCCAAUAUAUUUGAUCAACGAACCAAGUUACCCUAGGGAUAACAGCGCAAUCUACUUCAAGAGCUCCUAUCGACAAGUGGGUUUACGACCUCGAUGUUGGAUCAGGGUAUCCUAGUGGUGUAGCCGCUACUAAAGGU
rnacentral:rRNA from 1 species